AGUAAUAUACCUCGUUUAGUUGUUGUUGUUUUUUAAAUUUUUCGUUUUUUAUAUUUUGGUAGAUUCGUACCUGCGCGUUAACGGUUGUUAACGAUGGUAACAGAAUCGCUAACUGCAGUUAAAAUUUAAUCCAGAAUGUUUACGUAUAUAUAUAUACAAUCUCUUUACAAACAUAUACGAAUAUAUUGUCUUAUUUAUGAUUUGAUUAUUAAUAUUGUGUGUGUUUUAUUGUAUAUAUGAAAAUGUGUAUGUGAAGUGUUGAAUUCGAUAUUGUUAUGAAUGAGGCCCAUAUAUGAAACCCAACUAUUGACAUAUUAUAUUAUUAUUUCUGGAAUUGGGCUUAGAUAUAGGAAAUUCUUAGCACAACUGUUUAAUAUUUGUCGGUUCAACAACAGGAAAAAAAAAGAUAACGAAAACGAAAAUAUCUUCAAUCUUAUUCUGCAGCGAAAUCAAAAUUUUCCAGAGACCAAUCAAUUGAGAGAUUGCAUCUCCGAUUUCUGUCUUAGCAAGCAAAAUUAAUGGAAUUAAAAUCGAAGAGAUUGUGCAGAUUGAUGUACUGUGCAAGGUCAAACAAAAUUCGGAAAUAAUUCCUCUAUAUAUCGAUGUAGUUAGUUUUCAUUGAUGUGUAUCAGUCCCUUGAUAUUAAGUUUAACAGGUGAUGUAUCUGAAUAUAAGAUAGACGAAUUUUAUGCAUUUAUUUGAAUCUCUGUUGGGAAAGUAUUGUUAGAAAAUUUGGUUUUGUUUGGAUGGUAUUGUAAUAUGAACAGGUAAAUAUAUGCUUUAAAGAUAUGUAUUUGAUUAAA